rnacentral:ncRNA from 1 species
ACGGAUACUCUAGCCGGGUUGCACCGUAAAGCAGCCCAGCCCCAGCCGCAA